rnacentral:rRNA from 1 species
AUUGAACGCUGGCGGCAUGCCUUACACAUGCAAGUCGAACGGUAACAGGUCUUCGGAUGCUGACGAGUGGCGAACAGGUGAGUAAUACAUCGGAACGUGCCUAGUAGCGGGGGAUAACUACUCGAAAGAGUGGCUAAUACCGCAUGAGAUCUACGGAUGAAAGCAGGGGAUCGCAAGACCUUGUGCUACUAGAGCGGCCGAUGGCAGAUUAGGUAGUUGGUGGGAUAAAAGCUUACCAAGCCGACGAUCUGUAGCUGGUCUGAGAGGACGAUCGGCCACACUGGGACUGAGACACGGCCCAGACUCCUACGGGAGGCAGCAGUGGGGAAUUUUGGACAAUGGGCGCAAGCCUGAUCCAGCAAUGCCGCGUGCAGGAUGAAGGCCUUCGGGUUGUAAACUGCUUUUGUACGGAACGAAAAGCCCUGGGUUAAUACCCUGGGGUCAUGACGGUACCGUAAGAAUAAGCACCGGCUAACUACGUGCCAGCCGCCGCGGUAAAAC